UCYUACGGGAGGCAGCAGUGGGGAAUAUUGCACAAUGGGCGCAAGCCUGAUGCAGCCAUGCCGCGUGUAUGAAGAAGGCCUUCGGGUUGUAAAGUACUUUCAGCGAGGAGGAAGGCAUUAAGGUUAAUAACCUURGUGAUUGRCGUUACUCGCAGAAGAAGCACCGGCUAACUCCGUGCCAGCAGCCGCGGUAAUACGGAGGGKGCAAGCGUUAAUCGGAAUUAMUGGGCGUAAAGCGCACGCAGGCGGUUUGUUAAGUCAGAUGUGAAAUCCCCGAGCUUAACUUGGGAACUGCAUUUGAAACUGGCMAGCUAGAGUCUUGUAGAGGGGGGUAGAAUUCCAGGGUAGCGGUGAAAUGCGUAGAGAUCUGGAGGAAU
rnacentral:rRNA from 1 species